rnacentral:rRNA from 1 species
CGACCGGCGCACGGGUGAGUAACGCGUAUCCAACCUGCCUUACACUCUUGGACAGCCUUCUGAAAGGGAGAUUAAUACAAGAUGUUAUCAUGAGUAAGCAUUUUCACAUGAUUAAAGGUUUACCGGUGUAAGAUGGGGGUGCGUUCCAUUAGAUAGUAGGCGGGGUAACGGCCCACCUAGUCUUCGAUGGAUAGGGGUUCUGAGAGGAAGGUCCCCCACAUUGGAACUGAGACACGGUCCAA